ACUGUUAAGAUUAUUUCAGAUCCGACUUUCCUGCUUAAAGCUCAGGGCCGGAGCUUCCAUGGCGAUCUAGGAAAAAAAGAGAUCAAAAUUCUUCUUAGCGUCUUCAAAUUCUUCCGAUCUACUUCUCGAUAGAUUCUCGUCGCUCUCCUCGUCAAUCUGUUGCAUUUUUCUCCCAAAUUUCUGCUGAAAAUCGAAGUCUCAUCUGCUUUUGGCUUCUGAGGGUUUCUACUUCCCUCAAUCCGUCCAUCGUCUUACCAUUUCUUCGUUUCAUCAAUGGAUCGAUUUUUAUCGUGUUGCAUAUCCUUGUUAGCACGUGAAUCUUCGAAGGAUUUUACCGCUUUUGCUGUCAAAAUCCGGAUUUCGGCUCCUGUUCUGUUCGAUUGCUGAGGACCAGGUCGUUUUUUCAUCUGUACUGAAGGUUUUGAGCAUUUUCCUCUUGCGAAAUUAGGAUUUUUGGUCCCUGAUCUGUCAUUGAAUGUUUAGAUCGAUGAAGAUCUUCUUCUAUUUGAUUACUACUGAAUAUUUAAAGGAUUUUACUGCUUUUUUGUGGCGAAAUCCUGAUUUUGGCUCUUGAUCCGUUGUCGAUGUCUAGAUAGAUGAAGAUCUGCUUCUGUUUCAUUAGUCCUGAAGAACAUCCAUCAUCCACUGAAUAUUUGUUUCAGAUUCGAGCUCUAAACAUGCUUUUUGUCAAGAUUUAGAUUUUUGCUCUAGAUCUUGGUCCUCACAAAAGAAAUCUGUGCCUCUCUCUCUCUCUCUCUCUCUCUCUCUCUCUCUCUCUCCAAAGUUUCUUCAUUGCGGGGUCUGUGGAAUUCCACCAUCAUUCAAUAUGGAAACGCUUGUUGUAUGGGAGCAGUAUCGGAACCGGUAUUACAGCAGAAACAAGCUGCAGAUCUCUGAUCGACUAAGUUCUCCUUCUAGAAGCUUUAGGGAAAUCAAUUGCCGAACCUUCCAAUCUGGAGCAGGAAUUUUGCCUUCCCCUUCCUCUAUUCCUGUGAAAACAUCAGAGUCUCAUAUCACUCCUGUCAGGGAGAAAAAUGAGAAUAUCUGCAGAAAAAGCAGUUCUGCCAUUUCUAUAAAAACCAAGCCCACUGAUAUAGAAAAUCCUUUCGACCCUGAAAGCCUUUCUUCUUCUUACUCAGAGCUCUGGGCCGGGCCUGCUUACUCUAACUCUCCUCCCCCCAGCUCAUUGCCGAUUCCUAAAUUCUCUCUCCGGCAGAAACGGAGUAUUUCUCUUGAUUCGCCCAUUCCAGUAUGCGGGUUUACCGUCCACCCAAUCGCAAAGUCUGCACCAUCUUCUCCAUCGAGGGAAUCUUGUUCUUCAUCGGCAAGCAAUCUCUUUCUCAACACUGCUGCUACAGAGAAUCUCCGACGCAUUCUGCAUCUGGAUAUCGCUGAUGAUUGAGUAUGAGGAGGGAUAAUUACUGUAAAUAAAUCUCCUGUGCAAAUCAGGUUGUUGGUGAAAUGUAUAUAGUUUUAUCCUUUACAAGUUCAUUUAGGGUUCUGUUUUGGCCUUUUUGGAGGAAAAGGACGGACAUUUGCAGCUGGUAUCACAUGACUGUCUUUUGCGGUUUUACACUGGUGAAGAAAAGGAGGCAAAAGGAUGAAUAAAUUUGCAUUUUCCUAUGUCGUUGUGGCUCAUAUUUUCAAGUCUCCAAGUAAAACAGAAGAGUUGAAGGGAUGUUCUGGAGAAUUCAGUAUUUGAAACAACAUUCACGGUUGAUUUUGGUAAAUGGGUACUCCAUUUUCCUAUAGGGGUCAUGUUAUGUGUUCUUUCAGAAAUUUGUACUUGGGACCUUGCCUCCUUUUUUUUUUUAAAAUUUUUUUUUUUUUAAAUUUUAUUUAAAAUUUAAAAAUCAGUUGGGUUCAAAAUAUAGGAUCUUUUGUUACAGGGUUUGUGAAUACUGUAGGAUCACAGGUUCCAGUUAGGUUGAUCAUCCAGGUUAUUGUGUUUGUGUUAGGUUUGUAGGUUGUUAGCGACUUUGUUUCCUUUGGAUCUUGACACUUCCUUAUUUUCUUCACCUUUUUUUCUGUGAUGUCUCCCUCAUGUGGGUGUUUCACUCAUGCUUCUCCUUUCAUCUUUAUCAUUUCUUUUAGAUAAUUCCUGACUCAGGUGCUUUGUGUUGGCAUCUUGUACUCCUUUCCCCUCUUUUUCUGGUUUUUUGAAGAAAAAGUUGGGUGGGGGCACUGAAAGGAAGCCUACAUGUUUGUCAGCCUACUCUUUUCUCUCAAGUAUGUAGGUUCUACCCAUGUUGUGCUGUUGUAGUUUUAUCUGUUUGUCAUCCAGUUCUAUGGCUUGGUGGAUUGUCUAGUGCCUUGAUUGAUGAAACCUUCUUUCUAGAAGCUGCCUUUGAAUGUUGAAGUUGUUAUAUGAAGACGACGUUUGGUACCUUCUUUCUAGCAGUCACCUCUGAAUAUUGAAGUUUGUAUAUGAAGAUGAUGUUAGGUACCUUCUUUCUAGUAGUUGCCUCUGAAUAUUGAAGUUCUUAUAUGAAGAUGAUGUUAGGUUCUUGUGUCUGUGACACUUAUCAUCUCUGGAGGUUGCUGGAUGUGUUAACAAUGAGGUGAUCUGAAAUACCGAAGGGAGAAGAAGAACAUUCAUCUUUGCGCUCCUUGAGUAGUGUGCGUAUCCAUGUUUGGUGAAUCUUAAUCUUUCUCAGGUUGGUUGUGGCAGGAAGUGUUGUUUUGAAGACUUUCUAUCUAUUGAACUGGUUGGUAUGUUUAAGCGACUGGUGGUGCACGCCAUUCACUAGGACUCCUUUGAACUAUUUGAAGAGUCAAAUCUGUAACUUUUAGACUGUGAUGCAUGUACUUCUCUGUCAUGUUUUCUUUUGGUUUGCAAUACUUGACUACUUUGUUUGGAGACAUCAUGGUUCAGUUUUUAUUAAAUGGUACAUUAGCAUGUUUUGUGAUA